UGGGGAAUAUUGGACAAUGGGCGAAAGCCUGAUCCAGCCAUGCCGCGUGUGUGAAGAAGGUCUUCGGAUUGUAAAGCACUUUAAGUUGGGAGGAAGGGCAGUAAGUUAAUACCUUGCUGUUUUGACGUUACCAACAGAAUAAGCACCGGCUAACUUCGUGCCAGCAGCCGCGGUAAUACGAAGGGUGCAAGCGUUAAUCGGAAUUACUGGGCGUAAAGCGCGCGUAGGUGGUUUGGUAAGAUGGAUGUGAAAUCCCCGGGCUCAACCUGGGAACUGCAUCCAUAACUGCCUGACUAGAGUACGGUAGAGGGUGGUGGAAUUUCCUGUGUAGCGGUGAAAUGCGUAGAUAUAGGAAGGAACACCAGUGGGGAAGGCGACCACCUGGACUGAUACUGACACUGAGGUGCGAAAGCGUGGGGAGCAAACA
rnacentral:rRNA from 1 species